rnacentral:rRNA from 1 species
UACGGAGGGUGCGAGCGUUGUCCGGAAUCACUGGGCGUAAAGGGCGCGUAGGCGGCUUCUUAAGCGGGCGGUGAAAGCCCGGGGCUCAACCCCGGGUCGGCCGUGCGAACUGGGGAGCUCGAGCACUGUAGAGGCAGGUGGAAUUCCGGGUGUAGCGGUGGAAUGCGUAGAGAUCCGGAAGAACACCGGUGGCGAAGGCGGCCUGCUGGGCAGUGGCUGACGCUGAGGCGCGACAGCGUGGGGAGCAAACAGG